rnacentral:rRNA from 1 species
AUUGAACGCUAGCUGGAUGCCUUACACAUGCAAGUCGAACGGAGUGUCGAACGGGUGUGUAAUGUAUCGGAACGUGCCCAGUAGCGGGGGAUAACUACGCGAAAGCGUAGCUAAUACCGCAUACUGAUGGAUGGACCCGCGGUGCAUUAGCUAGUUGGUGUGGUAACGGCUCACCAAGGAGACGAUCCGUAGCUGGUUUGAGAGGACGACCAGCCACACUGGGACUGAGACAGGGCCCAGACGCCUACGGGAGGCAGCAGUGGGGAAUUUUGGACAGUGGGGGAAACCCUGAUCCAGCCAUCCCGCGUGUGCGAUGAAGGCCUUCGGGUUGUAAAGAACUUUUGGCAGGAAAGCGGUACCUGCAGAAUAAGCACCGGCUAACUACGUGCCAGCAGCCGCGGUAAUAC